ensembl:lncRNA
GCCAGACAUCUCUCAACAGAUAGCACUGAGCAAGAAGCAGCUUUAGGUCUGCCAGACAUCUCUCAACAGAUAGCACUGAGCAAGGAGCAGCUUUAGUCCUGCCAGACAUCUCUCAACAGAUAGCACUGAGCAAGGAGCAGCUUUAGGUCUGCCAGACAUCGCUCAACAGAUAGCACUCAGCAAGGAGCAGCUUUAGGUCUGCCAGACAUCUCUCAACAGAUAGCACUGAGCAAGAAGCAGCUUUAGGUCUGCCAGACAUCUCUCAACAGAUAGCACUGAGCAAGGAGCAGCUUUAGUCCUGCAAGACAUCUCCCAACACAGUGGUUCCCAAACUUUUUAUAGUCCUGUACCCCUUCAAACAUUCACCCUCUAGCUGCGUACCCCCUCUAACACCAGGGUCAGCGCACUUUCAAAUGUUGUUUUUGCCAUCAUUGUAAGCCUGCCACACACACACACUAUAAGAUACAUUUAUUAAACUCAAGAAUGAGUGUGAGUUUUUGUCACAACCCGGCUCGUGGGAAGUGACAAAGAGCUCUUCUAGGACCAGGGCACAAAUAAUAAUAUAAUAAUAAUCAAUCAUUUUGCUCUUUAUUUAACCAUCUUACAUAUAAAACUUUAUUUGUUCAUCAAAAAUUGUGUCUAACUCACCACAGGUUAAUGAGAAGGAUGCGCUUGAAAGGAUGCACAUAACUCUGCAAUGUUGGGUUGUAUUGGAGAGAGUCUCAGUCUUAAAUCAUUCUCCACACACAAUCUGUGCCUGUAUUUCGUUUUCAUGCUAGUGAGGGCCGAGAACACACUCACACAUACUGUAUGUAUGUGGUUGCAAAGGGCAUCAGUGUCUUAACAGCGCGAUCUGCCAAGGCAAGAUACUCUGAGCGCAGCCCAAUCCAGAAAUAUGGCAGUGGCUUCUGAUUCAAUUUUCACAGAACCGCUUGUUGCAAUUUCGAUGUUCAGAUAUCAGUGGACUGGAGGCAGGGCAUGAAAGGGGAAUUUAGUUGUUUGUGUCAUCCGUUUGGGGAAAGUACAUGCGUAAUUGCGCACCCAACUCACUCAGGUGCUUCACUAUAUCACAUUUGACAUUGUUCGCAAUCUCAUUUGCACACAAAAAAAUCAUACAAUGAUGUAAAGACCUGUGUGUUGUCCUUGUUAAUGCAGACAGAGAAGAGCUCCAACUUCUGAAUCAUAGUCUCAAUUUUGUCCCGUACAUUGUAUAUAGUUGCGGAGAGUAACCUGUAAUCCUAGAUUCAGAUCAUUCAGGUGUAUAAAAACAUCACCCAGAUAGGCCAGUCGUGUGAGAAACUCAUCAUCAUGCAAGAGGUCAGACAGGUGAAAACGAUGGUCAGUGAAGAAAACUUUAAGCUCGUCUCAAACAAAAAAACUUGUCAAUAAAAAGCGCACUUCUGUAUGUUGUAAAAGUGUUAGAUGGUCGCUUCCCAUAUCAUUGCAUAGUGCAGGAAAUACACAACAGUUCAGGGGCCUUGAUUUAACAAAGUUAACCAUUUUCACUGUAGUGUCCAAAAUGUCUUUCAAGCUGUCAGGCAUUCCCUUGGUAGCAAAAGCCUCUCGGUGGAUGCUGCAGUGUACCCAAGUGGCAUCGGGAGCAUCUGCUUGCAUGCGCAUUACCACUCCACUAUGUCUCCCUGUCAUGGCUUUUGCACCAUCAGUACAGAUACAAACACAUCUUGACCACCAAAGUCCAUUUGAUGUCACAAAGCUGUCCAGUGCUUAAAAAAUAUCCUUUCCUGUUGUCCUGGUUUCCAGUGGUUUGCAGAAGAGGAUGUCUUCCUUAAUUGACCCCCCAUAAAAGUAACAGACAUAUACCAGUUUUUUUUGUGCCUUUUCCCCCAGCAUUUUCCCAGCCAUAUCCGCAGCAGCAGGAAGAAUGAAGUCCUCCACAAUAGUAUGGGGCUUGCCUGUCCUAGCCACUCAGUAGCUCACCAUAUAAGAUGCUUCUAGCCCCUUCUUAUUCAUGGUAUCUGUUGCUUUUAUACAUGUCUUACUACUCAAAAGUCAUCUUAAUUCUCGUGGUUUAUUUUUCAAAUUGGCAUGUUUUGUUUCUAAAAGUCUGCGCAAGAGUGAAGGUUUCAUCGAGUUGUGAGAUAGUACUGUUGCACAUCUAACACACUGUGGCUGAGGAAAGGCACUACUCCCAAUAUAAGUGAACCCCAAAUCAAUGUAGUUCUCAUAUUUGCACCUCUUCGAUGGUCCAACAUCCCUGUCUGUUGUUCGGUGCUUUCCCGGGUAAGGGGGCAGUAGCUCUUCGGCUGAAUCAGAUUCACAGCUGGACUAACAACAAAUGUAGAAUUACUGAUACUAGCAUUGGAUGUGCUGGUGGAAGCAGAACAACUUGUUGUUGACAGGUGCAGGUGUAGUACUGCUGGUAGUAGCAGGUCUACCAGUAGAGCUGGUAUGUGUCUCUAUGGACUCAGGCCUUACUUUUUUCACCAUUUAUCCAUUUUCCAGCCAACGGAAUGAGCAGUAGCUACGUUUGGCUACAUACGGACCGUUAGUGGAAUUCCCGCGAGAGUAACAGUUAAUGUGAUUGGAUGUUAAUUAUUUCACUAGGCUACCUGUAUUUGACAUUGUGUUGUUAUUUCACUGAACACUAGAAGGUUUACUUGUAUUAUUGGCAGUUAAACGAGGCUACUCAGGCGAGAGAGAAAAAAAACUAAACGUUGGCCUUUUUGGAAAAUAAACAUUACAUUUUUGUUAUUAAAAUGUGAAAUCAGAUUUUUAUUUGUCGUACCACCGACGGCAUUGGGCGUACCCGUUUGGGAAUACCUGUCCCAACAGAUAGCUUUGAGCAACAAGCAGCUUUAGGGCUGCCGACAUGUAUUGAUGUGCUGGACACACACACAGGGUGGAGCCAAUGCAGUUUAAAGAGGAAAGCACAGGAAGUGGCUGCUUAGGGGGGGGUGGAGCUGGUGGAUUUUAUUGAUGCCCUGGGUGGGCCUUUAUGCACACAAGCAAUAACCACGUGGCAGAAUGACUCCAGUGAGUAUUCCCCCCAGCUGACACACACAACGCUUAGCUACACAUGGCUAAUUAAUAGAACAUCAAACCCCUCCUGCUUCCUGUUGACUUUACACUGCAGUGUCCUCUCAGCUGAUUAUACUGACUUCAACCAUGUCUAUUGGCUAUUGUCUCCCUACGAGCCAGGCGUGUGUGUGUGUGUUAGCAGCAGGUUUGUGGGAGGGCUUAAUCCCAGAUAGCGGGCAAGACUAUCAGACAUUUACACACCCAGAUAUGACUGGAAAGGUGUUUAAGAUGAAGGAAAGGAGAGAGCAUGUGGAGUGGGAUGCUUAAUAAGAGGUGGAGAUUAUUACAGAGUGCAACAUGGAGUGUGUCCCAAAUGGCACCCUAUUCCCUUUAUAGUGCACUACUUUUGAACAGGGGCUAUAGGGCUCUGGUUAAAAGUGCACUAUAAAAAGGGAAUAGGGUGCCAUUUGGGACACGAACAGUGUUGGUGACAUCACUCUGGUAUGAGGAGCUCUGUGGUGGAGAGCUCUAUAUUAACAAAGUGUCUCCGAGUAGGAGUACUGAUCUAGGAUCAGUUUUGCCUUUCAGAUCAUAAUGAAUAAGACAGGGAGAGAGCUGAUCCAGUACUUGUACUGUGAGACGAUGUGAAACAGGUAAAUCCAGGUGAGAACAUCCAUUUAGAGAAGAAUGGAUGACGUCAGUAACACAGCAGUGGAACGGCAAUAACCCGUUGGCCACGUUACGGCAGGGGG